rnacentral:rRNA from 1 species
AUUGAACGCUGGCGGCAUGCUUUACACAUGCAAGUCGAACGGUAACAGGCCUUCGGGUGCUGACGAGUGGCGAACGGGUGAGUAAUGCAUCGGAACGUACCCAGAGGUGGGGGAUAACGCAGCGAAAGCUGUGCUAAUACCGCAUGUGAUCUGAGGAUGAAAGCGGGGGACCGAGCAGCAAUGUUUGGCCUCGCGCCUUUGGAGCGGCCGAUGUCGGAUUAGCUAGUUGGUGGGGUAAAGGCCUACCAAGGCGACGAUCCGUAGCUGGUCUGAGAGGACGACCAGCCACACUGGGACUGAGACACGGCCCAGACUCCUACGGGAGGCAGCAGUGGGGAAUUUUGGACAAUGGGCGAAAGCCUGAUCCAGCAAUGCCGCGUGCGGGAAGAAGGCCUUCGGGUUGGAAACCGCUUUUGGCAGGAACGAAACGGUGUCCGCUAAUACCGGGCGUUAAUGACGGUACCUGCAGAAUAAGCACCGGCUAACUACGUG